GCCAGAUGCUGUUUUUGCAGUAUAACCCCUCCGGGAGAUGACUUGCCUGUAUGGCAAUGCUUGGCCAGUUAAAUAUUUGUUUCUGGGUUUAUGGACUGGAGCAGAAAAAAAGCUGUUGCUAUUACAGAGAUGCUCUACCCUGUGUUGCUGAGUGCAUCCCUGAUAGAUGUUUACAUGAAAAAACAAUACGACUUCAGCUUGAUUCUAAAUGAAGGGCUUCAUGACACAAAAUUCUGAGAGCCUUGGCCACUGACCCAGAAAAAGAAGCAUCAGACUCGAAGCCCUGGGAGAUUUUAGAACAAUUUCUUCUCCUGGCAAAGUGCAUCUUUUAGUUCAAUAAAUUUAAUAGUUCUUUU